rnacentral:rRNA from 1 species
AUGGCUAGGAUUGUGGCUGAGCCACCUUUACCUCCAGAGAUGAUUUGGAAACGAUCUUUUGAGAAUCUUUUGCCUGAGUUUGUUAUCAAGAAGGUGCCGAGGCCAAUCUUCUUCAAGCCUCUUGGGAUAGUGACAUACUCCAAGCGCUCUUGGACCAUUGCCUUUGAUGAUUCCCAAAGGAGCUCUUCGCUGGUUCCUGCUCUGCAUAACAAUUUGGUCCUUCGAAGGCCUUUUGUGGCCAAACGACCUGUUGCAAGAGCUCUUUUUGGUAAUUCCUCUGAAGAAGCUACUUCUGAUAAUGUCACUGGUGGUAUGGAGAUGGAUGUAUCUGGGGGGCAAACACAAGAUGAUGUACCUCAAGGACUAGAGGAGGUCUCUUCCUCUCCUGUGGUUUUUGCUUUUGCGCAGGUCAAGGGCAAGAAGCAGGCAAGAAGAACGAAGCCAGUGGCCCCCUUGGUGGAUACUUCUGUUCGAAGAUGUACACGAAGCGCGACAAAACUCGAUGGGUUUAAACCUGUUAUUUUUGAGCAGCUCUCUUUCCAGCCCACCAAGAGGCGCCCAAGGUCCAAGCCCAUCCCUGAGAAGGCCCAGUCCAAGCCUGAAGGUGUUGAUGAUAUUCCUAGUGCCACUGAAGAAGUUCCUCCGCCCACGCCGAUCAAUGUGCUGCAAGCAAUCGGAGCAGAACUGGAGAUUGAUAAGAGCUUGCUGUCCAAGGAGAAGCUUAUGGCUAAUCCCAAGGAUGAUUCCUCCUCCAAUGGUGUUUAA